AUGUACAAACUGAGGCCAGUCUUGUCGAGGAGGUUGUUGAACUUUGAUCCAGUGCAAUGUGUGAGACCUCAGCUGAUUUGCAUAGGUGCAUUCCAAGAAUAAAUGAUCUCUGGUUUCUUUAGCUUGUUGGCACAUAACACAAGUGUCAUCUACAGUUAAGUUCCACUUAAUCAACCCGUCUUUGGUAGGAAGUCUAUCUUGCAGCAGCAGCCAUAGGUUGAAUAGAGCUUUAGGUCGAGCAUGAUUCUGCAUUGUUAAAUUCUUCUAAGGAACUCUAGGUGCCUCUCCAAUCUGUCACUAUAUUAUCU
rnacentral:lncRNA from 1 species